rnacentral:rRNA from 1 species
UGCAUGUGUAGCGAUACAAUCAGUGAAGCGGCGGACGGCUCAGUAACGGGCGAGUAUUUAAUCUCUCGAACCGGACAACCUCAGGAAACGGAGGGGAAARCGGUGUAGUUAUUUGUUUGUAGCAAAUGAUGAGAACGACUUUGUCGUGCGAGAGAGUAAGAAGCCAUCCCAUCAGUUAGUAAGUAGGGUAAGGGCCUACUUAGACGAAGACGGGUACGGGGGAUUAGGGUUUGAUUCCGGAGAGGGAGCCUUAGAGACGGCUACCAGGUCCAAGGACAGCAGCAGGCGCGAAAAUUACCACAGCCCGCAUUGGGGCGGUAGUGAAGAGACGUGAAAACAAGAGUGUGUAGAUAACACUAAUGUAACUGGAGGUCAAGUCUGGUGCCAGCAUCCGCGGUAAUACCAGCUCCAGGAGUGUCUAUGAUGAUUGCUGCGAUUAAAAGGUCCGUAGUCAAUGAACAAAACUUGUCUGUAAUGUGGUUUAUUAACAGCCGAGUAGGACAGGAAUCGUUCAGAGUUAGGAGCGAAGGAGGGCUAGAUUAUUGAGCAGCGAGAGGUGAAAUUUGAUGACCUGCUUAGGAGUAACAGAGGCGAAAGCGCUAGUCAAGAGCGAAUCCGAUGAUCAAGGACGUAGGCUGGAGUAUCGAAGACGAUUAGAGACCGUAGUAGUUCCAGCAGUAAACGAUGCCUACAUUGUUGUAGAUUAGUGUACGACAAAAGAGAAAUCUAGUAGGGCUACGGGGAGAGUACACGCGCAAGCGAUAAAUUUAAAGGAAAUUGACGGAAGAACACCACAAGGAGUGGAGUGUGCGGCUUAAUUUGACUCAACGCGGGACAACUUACCAUACCCGAUGACCGUGUGAGCGUCAUACGUGAUAGGUCAAAGAGUGGUGCAUGGCCGUUAUCGACUAGUGGGGUGACCUUUGGGUUAAGUCCGCAAAGUAGUGAGAUCCCUAGGAUUCUGUAUGCACCAGUGUGCAGAUAUCGACAGGAGCGAGAAGCGCCGGAAGGAAGGGGCAAGAACAGGUCAGUGAUGCCCUUAGAUGGUAUGGGCUGCACGCGCACUACAGUGGUCACAACAAAAACAAACCASAAAUAAAUGUGAUCGAGAGGGAAUGAGCACUGUAAUGUGCACAGGAACGAGGAAUUGCUAGUAAUCGUUAUCUCACUAAGAAGCGAUGAAUGUGUCCCUGUUCUUUGUACACACCGCCCGUCGUUAUCGAAGAUGGAACCAGGUGCGAACAAGUGAAAGCGAGUGAGUGCAGGGUUCUAGAUCUGAUACAAGUCGUAACAAGGGCAGCUGUA